CCAGUGUCGGCCAUGCUGAGGCUUCUUGCCUCACAUCUGUCUCCCCUGAUGCAGCGAUGGACGAUGCAGGCAUCUCAGAUGGAGGAUCUCUAAAAUAUCUUUGUGUGACAUUAAUCAUUUCUAAUAUAAAACCAUUUUAAAAAGUGGUUUCUGUGGUAAGGAUUUGUAGGUACCUACCACACCGGUAAGUUUCAAUCCAACGUUCAUCGCUGGAAGAAGAAACAUGUUGCGUGAAGUUAUGGAGUUAAAAACCCAUAUCCAUGGUUGCAAUGGGU